GUGGCUAAGGCUUCACUUGUUCGACAUCGUCAGUGGCUCCGUUUGCUUUUGUAUUCUUAAAGAAAGAGAAGUCGAAACCAUAACACCGCUCUUAUAGGAUGACCGGUUUUUGGAAGUUUACUAAUCCCAAAAUGAAAAUGAGAACUGGUCAAGAUUAGUUUGGUUCGGUUUACGUCGUCUUUCAUCAUUGGCAUGUAAA